CAAUUUUUUUUGAGAGUUUGAUCCUGGCUCAGGAUGAACGCUGGCGGUAUGCCUUAAGCAUGCAAGUCGAACGCUUGUGUGGAGCACAAGGAAUUCAAAAGUCAAAGGUCAAGAGGUAAAAGUUAAAUGUAAAAAGUAAUAAGCGAGGCAACUUUUAGAUUUUAAUUUUCAAUUUUGAAUUUCUCGUGCUCUGCACGAGAGUGGCGGACGGGUGAGUAAUAGUAAGGAACGUACCCAGAAGUGGAGGAUAGCUCGCCGAAAGGCGGGGUAAGCCUGCAUGUGCUCGCAAGAGUAAAAACGCAAGUUGCUUCUGGAGCGGCCUUAUUCCUAUCAGCUAGUUGGUGAGGUAACGGCUCACCAAGGCGAUGACGGGUAGGGGGUGUGAGAGCACGGCCCCCAAC
rnacentral:rRNA from 1 species